rnacentral:lncRNA from 1 species
UGUCCUGAAUAGAGGUGUUGUCUGUUUCCAGUGACACUGGCUGUCUACUUGAGAGUAACAAAACUGCCUUUCCCUGCUUAUUCUAGGUUGUUUACCGUGCACAGCUGCUGUUGUUCUGGCACUAAAUGUGGUCACAAUCUUUGGAACUUGGCUGCUACAUCACCUUCCAGUCCUGCCUCCCCUCCCAGCACCACCCCUUCUGCUCUGCCUGAGGGUGCACAGCCCUGCUGCUACUGGACUUCAUACCUGCUCAUACUGGAUUUCUGCACUGCUCCCCGGCUCCCACCUCCUAGUUCUGAGUAGCCUGCAUCCAGGGCUGCAUCUGGGACCGCUCAAUUACUUUCAGGUCCACCAUCUGCACAUUCCCCUUACCCCAUCAUUAGCAUCAUAUUUUAAGUUUUAAAAUCUUAGAGAUAAUGGAAAAUAAUAAAUGGAAAAUAAAAAUCAUAUGUGAUCUUCACUUGCAGAUACUGGCUUUGUUCCAUUUUUAACAUAUUUACCUCAAGACAUACACCCAUGCACACACAGUCUUCCUCUGUGUGACCAUAUAUCAGAAC